rnacentral:rRNA from 1 species
CAGGCGGCAUGCCUUACACAUGCAAGUCGAACGGCAGCACGGGAGCAAUCCUGGUGGCGAGUGGCGAACGGGUGAGUAACGCAUCGGAACGUGCCCAGUCGUGGGGGAUAGCCCGGCGAAAGCCGGAUUAAUACCGCAUACGACCUGAGGGUGAAAGCGGGGGACCUUUACGGGCCUCGCGCGAUUGGAGCGGCCGAUGUCAGAUUAGGUAGUUGGUGGGGUAAAGGCCUACCAAGCCGACGAUCUGUAGCUGGUCUGAGAGGACGACCAGCCACACUGGGACUGAGACACGGCCCAGACUCCUACGGGAGGCASCAGUGGGGAAUUUUGGACAAUGGGCGCAAGCCUGAUCCAGCCAUGCCGCGUGCGGGAAGAAGGCCUUCGGGUUGUAAACCUCUUUUGUCGGGGAAGAAAGACGCUGGGCGAAUAACCUGGCGGGAUGACGGUACCCGAAGAAUAAGCACCCUACUAACUACGUGCCAGCAGCCGCGGUAAU